GGGGCUAUAGCUCAGCUGGGGAGAGCGCUUGCAUGGCAUGCAAGAGGUCAGCGGUUCGAUCCCGCUUAGCUCCA
rnacentral:tRNA from 2 species